rnacentral:rRNA from 1 species
AACGAACACUGGCGGCAGGCUUAACACAUGCAAGUCGAGCGCCCCGCAAGGGGAGCGGCAGACGGGUGAGUAACGCGUGGGAAUCUACCUUUUGCUACGGAAUAACUCAGGGAAACUUGUGCUAAUACCGUAUGUGCCCUUCGGGGGAAAGAUUUAUCGGCAAAGGAUGAGCCCGCGUUGGAUUAGCUAGUUGGUGGGGUAAAGGCCCACCAAGGCGACGAUCCAUAGCUGGUCUGAGAGGAUGAUCAGCCACACUGGGACUGAGACACGGCCCAGACUCCUACGGGAGGCAGCAGUGGGGAAUAUUGGACAAUGGGCGCAAGCCUGAUCCAGCCAUGCCGCGUGAGUGAUGAAGGCCCUAGGGUUGUAAAGCUCUUUCACCGGUGAAGAUAAUGACGGUAACCGGAGAAGAAGCCCCGGCUAACUUCGUGCCAGCCGCCGCAGUAAGAC